AAACUCAAGUAGAUCAUUGAGGUUAGAAAAUUAAAGGUCAAAGAGGCUACUCUUUGGAAGUGCUGGGGAGAACUGAAAUAAUUGUCCUCUUCUCUGGAAGAUGAACCGUUGCAGGAGGUGCUCCCGGUGCUGGGGAAAUGUCACUGUGAGAAGAAUAGAAAACUUAUUCCAAAGAGUAUUGAAGACUGACUGAAUCAGGUCUGGAACAUUAUUGAAACGAUGAUCUAAAUUAUAAGUAGAGAAAUGGGAAAGUAUAAAUAUCUGAAGACCAACAGUGAGAAUUACAUAAAAGGUGUCUCUACCACAGCUGUAGGAAUGUAGUGGCAAUUCCUAUCAAUAAAAGUGAUGAAUGUGGCUGACAGACAAUAUGAACUUUCAAACAUCAGGUUAUAUUUUUAGUGCUGUGUCUGAUUGGUUCACCAAAACCAAGAAUGCAUUACAUUUGGACGACAUUACACCCGUCAGGCCACUCUAAAGGUUAUGCAAACUGUGAUCUACAUGACUUCAGAUCUGAGAACAGAAUCUGGGGAUCUGAGAACUUUCUCACAUGUAGGACAUAUGUGAGUUUUCAGUGCCUUGAAAAAAAAGAAUAGAAAAGAAGGCACUGAAGAUUUAAACACUAAAUAAUCCUUCUGAAUCAGCAAAGACGCAGAAGGGCUCAAUGGGGAUUUAAAGACUCACAAAGGAAGAGAUACUGAAGUGAAUUUUCAGGACAAAUUGGUUUUGGAAAUGCUGAUUCAUUAAAUUAUGUAUAGCCAA